rnacentral:rRNA from 1 species
AGCGAACGCUGGCGGCAGGCCUAACACAUGCAAGUCGAGCGGCCGUAGCAAUACGGCAGCGGCAGACGGGAGAGUAACACGUGGGAACGUGCCCAUCAGUUCGGAACAACCCAGGGAAACUUGGGCUAAUACCGGAUACGCCCUUACGGGGAAAGAUUUAUCGCUGAUGGAGCGGCCCGCGUCUGAUUAGCUAGUUGGUGAGGUAACGGCUCACCAAGGCGACGAUCAGUAGCUGGUCUGAGAGGAUGAUCAGCCUCACUGGGACUGAGACACGGCCCAGACUCCUACGGGAGGCAGCAGUGGGGAAUAUUGGACAAUGGGCGCAAGCCUGAUCCAGCCAUGCCGCGUGGAUGAUGAAGGCCCUAGGGUUGUAAAGUCCUUUCGGCGGGGAAGAUAAUGACGGUACCCGCAGAAGAAGCCCCGGCUAACUUCGUGCCAGCCGCCGCGGUAA